rnacentral:rRNA from 1 species
GAUGAACGCUAGCUACAGGCUUAACACAUGCAAGUCGAGGGGAAACGAUAGAGAAAGCUUGCUUUUUCUAGGCGUCGACCGGCGCACGGGUGAGUAACGCGAAUCCAACCUGCCCACCACUUGGGGAUAACCUUGCGAAAGUAAGACUAAUACCCAAUGAUAUCUCAAGAAGACAUCUGAAUGAGAUUAAAGAUUUAUCGGUGAUGGAUGGGGAUGCGUCUGAUUAGCUUGUUGGCGGGGUAACGGCCCACCAAGGCGACGAUCAGUAGGGGUUCUGAGAGGAAGGUCCCCCACAUGGGGACUGAGACACGGUCCAAACUCCUACGGGAGGCAGCAGUGAGGAAUAUUGGUAAAUGGGCGAGAGCCUGAACCAGCCAAGUAGCGUGCAGGAUGACGGCCCUAUGGGUUGUAAACUGCUUUUAUAAGGGAAUAAAGUGAGUCUCGUGAGGCUUUUUGCAUGUACCUUAUGAAUAAGGACCGGCUAAUUCCGUGCCAGCCGCCGCCGUAA